CCCUUAGAUGUUCUGGGCCGCACGCGCGCUACACUGAUGCAUUCAACGAGUUUCUUCCUGGUCCGAGAGGAAUGGGUAACCUUUUGAAAGUGCAUCGUGAUAGGGAUAGACUAUUGCAAUUAUUGGUCUUCAACGAGGAAUUCCUAGUAGACGUAGUUCAUCAGACUGCAUCGAUUACGUCCCUGCCCUUUGUACACACCGCCCGUCGCUCCUACCGAUUGAAUGCUCAGGUGAGCCAUUCGGACUUUCAUCAUGCUGGUUUCCAGUUUUGAUGAAGGAAAGUCUUGCGAACCUUAUCAUUUAGAGGAAGGAGAAGGCGUAACA
rnacentral:rRNA from 1 species